CUCCGACCCAACGAACUCUUGUGGAUCAGACGGAGGAGGGGGGCUCCGAGUCUCACCGGCGGAGGGCUGACCGCACACCGUCCCAGCGAGACGACAGUCUGAGGAGCGGCGGCGGCGGCCGGCCCACACCGGCACGAUGGGCGGACAAGGGCGGCGGCAGCUGGCGGCGGCUGAGCGCCUGGUGCGGCGGCGG